AAAAGGAAUGAACAAUGUUUGGUAUGGUAGCUUAAGCUUGAAGUGCUUCGGUGAUAUUUUAGUUCCAUUUCACACAAGGUGCAUAUUGUUUUUGACUUGUCGAUGGAGCA